rnacentral:lncRNA from 1 species
UGCCGUUACGGGGUUCAAAACGGACACGCGGCAUGACCUAGGAUCGGAUGCUUCCGAUCUCGUAUUACUGGAUCAUGGAUCCGGCGAGGUGAAGGCUACGUCGGCGCUCCACGUGCCCCAGGGCCUUAUUAAAUGAGGGGAGCGGAGGUGCCGUCCGUUCGUUCUUCAAGGCGAUUCGAUUCUGCGGACCCAUAAUGAGGCCCCGAGAUCCGAUGGGACAGGGCUUCGAUUUCGUACCCGAUUUAUUGAUCCGGAG